AUUCAAAUAGCUUAAUAAAAGCUUAGUAUUGAAGUUACUGUGAUAGAAAGAUUCUUUUGAAUA
rnacentral:tRNA from 1 species